GCAAGUCGUACGAGAACGCUUCAGCUUGCUGAAGUUAGUAAAGUGGCGCACGGGUGAGUAACGCGUGGGUAAUCUACCUUCGAAUUGGGGAUAACGUUGCGAAAGUGACGCUAAUACCGAAUGAUAUCAUAAGGACUUUGGUUCUUUUGAUCAAAGGUUGGCUUUCCUUGGAAGCUAUUGGUUGAAGAUGAGCCCGCGUCCCAUUAGCUUGUUGGUGGGGUAAUGGCCUACCAAGGCAGCGAUGGGUAGCGGGUCUGAGAGGAUGAUC
rnacentral:rRNA from 1 species